AAAUAUUCAUUCAGUCCCCAGGCCUGGACUGGGGAGCAUCAAAAUUUCCAGUGUUCUGUUUUCUGUUCUGUUUAGUGAAAAAAAUUAAAUCAAACAAAUUUAAAAAAAGUGAAAAAUAAUUUCCGGACUAUUAAAAAAAAAAAUAAUCAAACAAAAAUAAACUAAAUUACACUAAAAAUGAUUCUCAAAAUAAGAUACAGGAUCCGCUGAUCCUUGUUUCUGUACAGGCCUGUUCCACAGAUGGAUGAAAGGAGAUGAAGAUACCUCCAGGCACCCACACCCACACCACCACACCACCACACCACCACACCGCAAGCACACAUUCGCAAUCGAACUCGAACUCGAACUCGUCAACGCUUUUGCACAACUAUACUAUUGCAGGAUGGAACCGGCCGAAAGCACAGUGGAUGGCAUCCUGGACAAGAGCUUCAUUGGGCAGAUAAACCAAGAAGCAAACUAUAAGCAGCCUCUACCUUGGUAUUGAAGGCUCUGCUGUCGAUGCCAUCGGCACAGGAUCCGCUGAUCCUUGUUUCUGUACAGGCCUCUUCCACAGAUGGAUGAAAGGAGAGGAAGAUACCUCCAGGCACCCACACCCACACCACACCACAACUAUACUAUUGCAGAAUGGAACCGGCCGAAGGCACAGGGGAUGGCAUCCUGGACAAGAGCUUCAUUGGGCAGAUAAACCAAGAAGCAAACUAUAAGCAGCCUCUACCUUGGUAUUGAAGGCUCUGCUGUCGAUGCCAUCGGCACAGGAUCCGCUGAUCCUUGUUUCUGUACAGGCCUCUUCCACAGAUGGAUGAAAGGAGAGGAAGAUACCUCCAGGCACCCACACCCACACCACACCACAACUAUACUAUUGCAGAAUGGAACCGGCCGAAGGCACAGGGGAUGGCAUCCUGGACAAGAGCUUCAUUGGGCAGAUAAACCAAGAAGCAAACUAUAAGCAGCCUCUACCUUGGUAUUGAAGGCUCUGCUGUCGAUGCCAUCGGCACAGAAUCCGCUGAUCCUUGUUUCUGUACAGGCCUCUUCCACAGAUGGAUGAAAGGAGAGGAAGAUACCUCCAGGCACCCACACCCACACCACCACACCACCACACCGCAAGCACACAUUCGCAAUCGAACUCGAACUCGUCAGCUUUUGCACAACUAUACUAUUGCAGGAUGGAACCGGCCGAAAGCACAGGGGAUGGCAUCCUGGACAAGAGCUUCAUUGGGCAGAUAAACCAAGAAGCGAACUAUAAGCAGCCUCUACCUUGGUAUUGAAGGCUCUGCUGUCGAUGCCAUCGGCACAGGAUCCGCUGAUCCUUGUUUCUGUACAGGCCUUUUGCACAGAUGGAUGAAAGGAGAGGAAGAUACCUCCAGGCACCCACACCACCACACCACCACACUGCACGCACACAUUCGCAAUCGAGCUCGAACUCGUCAACGCUUUUGCACAACUAUACUAUUGCAGGAUGGAACCGGCCGAAAGCACAGGGGAUGGCAUCCUGGACAAGAGCUUCAUUGGGCAGAUAAACCAAGAAGCAAACUAUAAGCAGCCUCUACCUUGGUAUUGAAGGCUCUGCUGUCGAUGCCAUCGGCACAGGAUCCGCUGAUCCUUGUUUCUGUACAGGCCUUUUGCACAGAUGGAUGAAAGGAGAGGAAGAUACCUCCAGGCACCCACACCCACACCACCAUACCACCACACCGCAAGCACACAUUCGCAAUCGAACUCGAACUCGUCAGCUUUUGCACAACUAUACUAUUGCAGGAUGGAACCGGCCGAAAGCACAGGGGAUGGCAUCCUGGACAAGAGCUUCAUUGGGCAGAUAAACCAAGAAGCAAACUAUAAGCAGCCUCUACCUUGGUAUUGAAGGCUCUGCUGUCGAUGGUAUCGGCACAGGAUCCGUUGAUCCGUGUUUCUGUACAGGCCUGUUCCACAGAUGGAUGAAAGGAGAUGAAGAUACCUCCAGGCACCCACACCCACACCCACACCACCACACCGCACGCACACAUUCGCAAUCGAGCUCGAACUCGUCAACGCUUUUGCACAACUAUACUAUUGCAGGAUGGAACCGGCCGAAAGCACAGGGGAUGGCAUCCUGGACAAGAGCUUCAUUGGGCAGAUAAACCAAGAAGCAAACUAUAAGCAGCCUCUACCAUGGUAUUGAAGGCUCUGCUGUCGAUGCCAUCGGCACAGGAUCCGCUGAUCCUUGUUUCUGUACAGGCCUCUUCCACAGAUGGAUGAAAGGAGAGGAAGAUACCUCCAGGCACCCACACCCACACCACCACACCACCACACCGCAAGCACACAUUCGCAAUCGAACUCGAACUCGAACUCGUCAACUUUUGCACAACUAUACUAUUGCAGGAUGGAACCGGCUGAAGGCACAGGGGAUGGCAUCCUGGACAAGAGCUUCAUUGGGCAGAUAAACCAAGAAGCAAACUAUAAGCAGCCUCUACCUUGGUAUUGAAGGCUCUGCUGUCGAUGGCAUCGGCACUCGACACUGUGGGCUCUGGUCUCGGCUCUGAAUAUUGUGGAUCACAUUAAGAAACAGAACAACAAAUCAACACGGAUUAUUGCCAGCACAGAACACCAAUCGACACAUUUUAUCGACUUUGUUUA